GAACGCCGUGUGCGUGGAAACGCGCAUGCACGGUGUGAGGCGGGGGAAAAUAGCUCCUAACAGUCAUGCUGAGGAUGACUAUUACCUAUCGCCAU
rnacentral:ncRNA from 1 species